GUUUUGAUUUAAGUGGCCUUGUCCUUCGCUACUGUUAGUGUUGGCGGAGGAUUUACAGUCGGGAUAUUGCACCACGCUCGCCUCUUGCUGAGCCCCAUAAAGGGACUGUCUGGGGAGCGCCUCGUAGCCAUAGAAUUUGGAGGCGUCUCCGUGGCAGCUCAGCGAGCACGGGUUCUGCUGGUAGCCCGAGUUGGAGAUGCCCGAGGUGCCGUGGUGGAAGAAGUCUUGGACGUGGUGCGAGGCGUGCUGGAAGCCGGGCGCCGAGCCGCCGGGCCCGUACACCAGCGCAUGGCUCCGGCCCACGCUCUGCGGGAAGCGGCAGUCGUAAUAGGCCGGCUCCAGGGACUCGCCGCCUUUGUACUUGGAGAACAGGGGGUUGACGAAAGAGAGACAGAGAGAGAUACCUGAGCCAGCAGGUCAACUCAGGUUAUCUCAACAGGUAUAAGACCCCCGAGGGGUUGAAUGCCAACAAGAAACAGUUGCUCCCCUAACCCCCAAAGAUGGGCUCCCCAGGGGGGUCCUUAAGUCUGGGGACUCUGAGGAGGAACAAGCGCAUCAUAUCCCCAAACACUUCAGGCCUCAGAACCCUCCAGGACUCUUGCCCCUCCCCAGGGUGGGAAGCUGCCCUGUCUUCCCUAGAUCCUUAAGAUUCUCUUGCCUGCCUGCCUGCUGUGGGUAGUGGAGAGGGCCAGAGGCAGGGGGCACUCCAUAUACCCAGUCAGGGCUGCACUGACCCUUCAGACACCAGCUCCUGCCUGAGGCAGGAAGCCCGGGCAAUAGCCACGAGCUUGCUGGAGAGCAAAGCUGCUGGUGGGGACAGAGAAGGAGAGGGCAGCUGGUGGGUCCCUGGCUUCUGGCUGGGCUGAUCCAGGAGGUUUCUUCUCAGGAGACCCCUUGUAUCUGGGUUGGAGGAGACUAAAGCAGGCCUCUUAGCUGUCCCCACAUACCCUAACCCCAUAGGAAAUGCCAGUUCGGCUAGGAGGGGCCCCCUGGCCUCACCGCACCCCCCCCCCCACGCUUCCCCAGGCAGGCUGCCCAGGCCAGGAUGUGGAUGGGAACUGUCAACAGACACUCUUUAAAUAUUUACCCACACUUUCUCUGGGGGGCUUCCCCCAUCCCCAAGACUGGGUAAAUUCAAGUUAAUUCUAAUGGAUAAAGGAACCUUAUUCCAUCAGCACCCUUUCCUGGCCAUAAACAUGUACAAUUAUGUGGACUUAACCCAGACAGAGAGAAAAGGGAGAAAGUCAGAGAGCUGUGGAUAUGUGUGCUGUGUGCAGGCGAAUGAAGACGAGCAAUAAGAAUGAUUUUUCCGGUCCUCCCCCUCCACAGUGUGUGAGGUUGUCAUACACAGGGCAACGCGGGGCCAUACUCGGGAUCCACACAUACUGUAUGUGCUACCUUCCAUUCUGAAAAACAUCAAAUGCAUGCUCACUCAGCUAUCACGCAUGCCGGGAAGCACCCCUGUCACCUCACAGACACUGUGCACACACAUGCACAUCCAGGCACAUAUGAAAAUAAGACCUUAUAAACACACAUGCAUCUUUAGCUCUUUGCAUCAUGAAAAAAAUUGCUACCUAUUUUCCUUCCACAUCCUGGGGUUUCAGGGUUGGAUGAGGAAGGAGGCGGUUAGAAAACCAGAUCUUUUUCUUCCCCAUCCAGAGCCCAGCUCUGGGGAUGGAGGAAGAAAUGAAAGUGCAGGGGAGGAUGGUGUAGAGAGAAUGAGCUUCCCCCUUUUGUAUCUAAAUAAUUGCUGAGGAAAUGGCCACUCUCAGCCAAAUUCCCAAAGGAGAGUCACUGGUGGCCCAGCAAGAGACGCUUCCAGGAUCCCCUGAAUUUGGAAGAACCUACCCCCAUCUGACUUAGGGACCGCCCAAACUCUGUGACACCCAGAACUCUGGCCCUGGAGCAGCAGGAGGGGAGGGUCAGCGGAGGGCCGUGCCAGGGCUGCAGGCCUCCCCAGGGUCCAGGGCAGUAGAGGGCAUGACAGAGGUGUCCUCCACUACCAGAGCACGCUGCAGCCUUGGUUCUGGCCCUGCCUUUUCUGAGCCUGUUCUGUGGCUACUGAGCUGAACGAGACAGACUCUGGGCUCCCAGCUUCUAGGUCACUGGGGACUGUCAUAAAUACUUUCUCUUCCCCUCCUGGAAAGAGGAGGCUGGGCAGGCCGGAUCCGCUCUGGGGCCUGCGCCUUAUCUUUUAGGGGCUGGGGGGAUAUCUCGACACUUUAUGGUCCAGCGAAAACCCUGCCACAGAGCUAUUCUUCCGGGCCUUUGUGUCUUGGAAUGCGACUGUCCCGAGUGUGCUGCCAGCACCGUCUGCUCCGAGAGCCCACCAGUCCCGAAAUCCCGGGUUGGACUUGGUUUCCCCUUUCGGGGUGGAGGGGGGGGGCGUCCCUCGCCUUUUCUUUCUUUCGUUCAUUUGAUUGUUUUUUUUCUUUUACACGUAUCUGGUUGAUUUCGCUCCGGGAGCCUGGAAAUAAAGAAACCGCAAGCAGCCAUCCUUGCUGGGGCGUCUCUGUCCCUCGCCCCGAGGCCUGCACCGCCCUACUAGGUGAGAGGACUGAUUUGCUCAGAGCCAGAGGGGCCGGGCUGGGCCGGGGCGCCGGGCCUUCUCGUUGCUGCUCCUCGGGGCCGGGCCUCAAACGUCAGUGCGGCCAGGCCGGCCGGGGGCACCGCCGCCGCCUCUAACAUUGAGCAACAGCGCCACCUCGCGUCCACUUGCUCCAAUGCAGUCCGGCCGGGAAAAAGCCAACAGCUAGAGCAAGCAGAGACACUGUGCAAUGGAACUGCCGCGAUGUCACCCGCGUUCAGGCUCAUUUCUGGCCUCGGAACACCUCCGCGCACGCAGAUGUACGCCCCGAAGCUCCCGCGACCGCCUGCCCGCGGCGCGCACCCUAAACUCCUCGCUCCUCUUACCCUGCCGCUGGCUCCGCACCGCCUAUCCCGCUGCCGCCUGCAGGACUUUGGGGUGGGAUUCUGACUUCUCCCGGCUCUUUGCCCCCUGGUUUGUAGCCCAUCCCUCUCUCUCACGCGCGCGCUCUCUCCACCUCUCCCUCCCAGCCAGUGAGGUCCUGUUCUCCGUGGACCAUAGACAAAACAUUCCUAUAAUCCGAUUUCAAAGGAAAGAGUGUCCACCUUAUUUAAACCAUAAAACAAGCCCAGACGUCUAGCCAGCUCCGCGCUGCUGUUUUGUUCGGCCCCAUUCAGAAUCCAGCGCAGGGAGACAAACAGCGCCAUAAAAGAGGCAUUUCGGAGCCGCGGAAAUGUACCUAUCCUCUGCCUUCCCAAGUGGAACAACCUUUAGGGUUUUGUGAUUCUGACAAAGGAGCAGAGGAGAGGUGGGAGGAGAAGAUUAGGGCGGGGGGGCGUUUGCAAGCCCCUCUUUCCUCCCCAGCUUUCGUUUCUUUCCCCAGAUGUGUGUUGUGUUGUUGUGGUUUGAGCUCACAAAUGACAAUAAAUAAAAAUAGAAUC